ACUGGGGUGGGGUAGUGGCAACCUACAUGUUUCCCAAGCAUGCGCGCCGGGUUCGAUUUCUAGUCCUAGUG